GCCAGACCCUAUGGCUGAAGUAAACCCUAUCCAGGCCACAGGGGAUAGGCCUAGUUGAACACCUAAAGGAGCCACUGAGGACAGUUGGAGCGAAGACACAAGUCAGCAGCGCCUCUCUGCCGCCUCCCUCCCACUUCCCCUCUCCCUCCCCCUCAGAUGAGUGGCCAGAGGGCCCAGACUAUGAGGGGUAGGGGGAGAAAUGAAAAGAAAAGGGGCAAAAAUAAGAGAGCUGACGAUGGGCAUCCAAGCGUUGUAAGAGUUUUGGAAAUGAAGGAUCUGGAGGGAGAUUUGGUCAAUGGAUGCGUCAGCCUCCGAGCUGUACUCAGAGGACGGGGACAAAGACGGGUCUGUGUACUUGGCCAAACUUGAAAGGAAUAGGGUGGUCGUCUUAGAGCCCCUGGGACCCGGCCUGGGCUUCCCCACGAGGGGUCUGUCGCGCCCCCCGCCCCCGCCGGGGGGGGGUGGAUCGGGUCCGCGCACUACCCGCGGUGAGACGGCGCCGCGCCAGGCGGCGCUGGAGGCGGGCGGGCGAGCACCUCGGUCGCCCUUUCCCUCCUUUCCCGCUUCUCCCGCCAGAGUGAGAGGCCUGUGUCUGGCAGGGGAACGAGCGUCCCGCCCCCGGUCCCGGGUCUGGGCCGCCAAGCGGACAUCACGAAGGGGCGGGCGGCUCCCGGGGCAGCCCCGCCGCCCCGCUCGGUGCGCCCGCCCCCGGGAGCCAGACGUGGCGCCUCCCCCGCGGCGGCGGGGAGCUGGGAGGUGGGGUCGGGAGCCCGAACCCGGGGCUCUGAUGUCACCGCGCGGCCGCCAGCGCCCGGGAGCGCGUCUCGGGCUGGAGCUCAGGAAAGGCCGAGAAAUGCACCGGCCAACGGCCAUCCGCUCUCCCAGAGUCCCUGAGGCCCCGCACUCCUGCUGCUCUGCGUGAUUUUGUCGCCCCCUGCGGCCACCGGGCCCGUGCCUCUCUUCUCCCUGGAGCCCCUCGACUCAGCUUGAAGCCCCAGGUAUGUGGUUUGACUUAGAUCGGGCCUCCUCUCCCCCAGUGUCGCCAGCAUCCCGCGUUUCCUGUCCGAGGCGCAGAGCUAGCGCCUAAGGUGCUAGAAGAGAGAGGAUGAUUUGCGGGGUGCGCUGUGGCGCGGCCAGGCCGGGAGAACAGGGGCCCCCUGGGAAACUGGGAGAGCCCCAAACUUCCUAAAAUGCCUACUCUUCUAGACCUAGUCUGGGGUGCUGGGACUCAAGACACGGCCCAGGAACUCAGUCUGGCCGGGAGACUGCUGUGCAGGCAGCACCCCACAGAGAGCCUAGUGCUGAGGCAUCUGAUCUGGGACGGGUGGCCUGGACAACCUCUCCAUAGAGAGGUCAGAUGUGAGAUGGCCUUUGAGAAAGUUAGGAUUUAAUUCCUGAUCGCUGUUGGUCAUUUGAGGCUGGCUGUCCUUCUGGUCACCUUACCUGGAUCUUCUGUUGUCUUUGUGUAACGUGACCCACCAGGAAGCUGUCUUAAUCGAUUUCUUCAAAAACCUCUACCUAAAAACUUGGGUCAGCCUGCCUGCCUGGUCCAGUCUCUCUGCUAAGGGCCAGACCCACAUCUCAACUUUCCAGCUGCUUGCCAGACUUGCCACAAACACUGCAACUCCCAAAGGCCCCAGACUGAAUGAGCACUGGACCCCUUGGCCAGUUGCAUCUCAGCUUCCUCAUUCCUGAGACCAACACAUCUACCUCCCCAGCCCCUAGCUCUGAACACUUAACUCCUUCUUGUCUCCUUUUCCUUUCUUCUCUUUGAGUCAGGUAUUGAGUUGAUCUCAAAUGCCCUAAUUCCACAUGACCCCAGUCUGGUGGUUUUCCAGCAGGGAUUCCAUGCUGCUUCCCCUGCUCUGGUAGGACUUGGCAAAAAGUUCUUUUAGGAGCUCCUUGAGCUCUCGCCUCUGGAUUUAUCUUCCAUGCAGGCACUGGCUCUGCCACCUAGCCCACAGCUGACACUAACCCUGCUAAGGUUCCUGGGGUGUGGCCACUCCCAGGGGCUGGCUGGACUGCCAGAGGCUCCCUGAAGCCAGACAAGUGUGAAAACUCUCUGCUCUUUGAGCUGAGGCCCCAAAACACACUAAAGGAGCUGGACCUUUCUGGCAUAACAGGUUCUGCAAAGAGCACAGGGUGAGCGACCUGCAUGGGUAUCAGGUGCUCGGCUUACCACUAAAAAAGCAUCCUUGAGGAGUUCUCGUCGUGGCUCAGUAGUUAAUGAAUCUGACUAAGAACCAUGAGGGUGCAGGUUCAACCCCUGGCCUUACUCAGUGGGUUAAGGAUCCGGCGUUGCCGUGAGCUGUGGUGUAGGUUGCAGAUGAGGCUUGGAUCCUGUGUUGCUGUGGCUGUGGUGUAGGCCGGCGGCUAUAGCUCUGAUUAGACCCCUAGCCUGGGAACCUCCACAUGCCGCAAAUGCGGCCUUAGAAAAAAAAGACCAAAAAAAAAAAAAAAAGCAUCCUUGAGACAAGUUAAGGUCAAUAAGAAAAUGUACACAUAUUUUCUUAUCCAGUUGAGCUGUUUUUAUUGAGUGAACUCAGAAUCCUUUGUUAGUAAUUCAAAUAUAAGAUAGAAUUUUCAAGGCCUUUUUUGAGGAAACAUCUUUGUAUUCAAACAGUUACCCAUUCCUGUAGAUGCAGCAGAAGUCAACAUGGGUGGCAUGAGCCAGAGUAAACAGGGCUUACAAGCUCAGAUCAGAAAGCUAGGAAGAGGAGUUCCCAUCUUGGCACAGCGGAAACAAAUCCAACUAGGAACCAUGAGACUGCAGGUUUGAUUCCUGGCCCCGUGAUCUAUGAUGUAGGUCACAGACAUGGCUCCAAUCCAGCAUGCCUGUGGUGUAGGCCAGUAGCCAUAGCUCCUAUGCCACUGGUACAGCCCUAAAAAGCAAAAAAAAAAAAAAAAAAAAAAAAAAA
rnacentral:lncRNA from 1 species